rnacentral:rRNA from 1 species
UACGUAGGGUGCAAGCGUUAAUCGGAAUUACUGGGCGUAAAGCGUGCGCAGGCGGUUUCGUAAGUCUUUCGUGAAAUCCCCGGGCUUAACCUGGGAAUGGCGAUGGAGACUGCGAGGCUAGAGUUUGGCAGAGGGGGGUAGAAUUCCACGUGUAGCAGUGAAAUGCGUAGAGAUGUGGAGGAACACCGAUGGCGAAGGCAGCCCCCUGGGUCAAAACUGACGCUCAUGCACGAAAGCGUGGGGAGCAAACAGG